rfam:Neurospora tetrasperma FGSC 2509 unplaced genomic scaffold NETTE2scaffold_2, whole genome shotgun sequence.
GGCCUCAUGGCGCAACGGUAGCGCGUUCGACUCCAGAUCGAAAGGUUAUCCGUUCAAAUCGGGUUGGGGUCA